rnacentral:lncRNA from 1 species
AAAAAAAUUUUUUUUUGUUUCAUUCGAAGGAAGAUUUUUUUUUUUAGUAUUUUCCCUCCAGGAAAUUAUUUCUAAUUAUUCAAGUAGAAAUUACAUAAACCAGUGGAUUUCUAUCGAAUUUAUAAAAAGUAAAAUUUAACAAAUUUACAGAUAAUUAACACGAGUAUGGUUUUAAUUAACCUUUACGAAGCGAAAACGUUUUAAUAUAUUUUAAAUGGCAUUUUUAUCGAAUGGGUUCAAGGAAUGCAAAAAUUCCUUUGUUAACUGAAAAUUAGCGUUAACCGAAUAUCGUAUUACGUAUUAGUAAUGAGUUAUCAGGACCUUUUAUAAAAGAGAAUCCUCCUUCGAAAAUUGCUGCUUGUCACAGUUCACUUGCACGACAUGCAACUAUUCGUAGCAGCAACCAAACAUCUGUUUUACAGGAAAGCCAUCUGCCAGUUGAUUCUGCAUUAUCGCCUGCAGGAUGUGCGACAUAUUUUCGAAACCUGUACAAUUUUAAGUGUCGCAAUGGCUUUUUUUUAUAUAUUUGUACAGCUGGACUUCGCGUUCGGAGAGCGAUUAACAAUAGCACUCGUGAUAAUUGAUAAUAAUAAUAUUUUCUUCCUUUUAAAAAGUACAUAAACUCGUAAAAAGUGUUCGAGAUAAAUUUAAUAUAUUCUGGAAGCUUUUAACGCAUUUACGUGUAUUCUUGUUACUUACUAGAGUUGCGUAUAAAUUAAUGACCACAGAACGAUGAUGUAAAUAGCAUUCGCAUUAAUCCAAUAGUUUAACAUGGAAGUUCAAUGUCGGUCACUGUUUCUAAACGAUCGAAGAGUAUCGGUGCCACGAUGUCUCUACACCUGUGCUCUGCCCACUGUAUCGAGAUAUACGCCCUAUAGAUUAGUUAUUGUUUUAUAUGUUGGGUGGAAAAAAUGUCAAGGAUCUUCAUUUUUCUAAACAAUAAAAUUCUUAAACUUUCAGAGAAUACGGGCGAUUAAAUUUCGUUUCUAACAUCGGAUGAGUUGCAAAUUUUGAAAUUACUUUUCUCAGUUUAAUUAUAAGAAAAACCUUCUUAACAAUAAUGACAACCGAAAGAAUUUGACCUAUUUAGCUUUAUAUAAACAAAAAUUUAUUGUUCUCCGAUCGAAAGAUCAGAAAUUCUGAAACUAUCCACCAAACCCCAAGGUUAUAUAUAUAUUUAUAUAUAUAUAUAUAUAUAUAUAUAUAUAUAAACCAAGUUGAACAGG